rnacentral:rRNA from 1 species
GACGAACGCUGGCGGCGUGCUUAACACAUGCAAGUCGAACGGAAAGGCCCUGCUUUUGUGGGGUGCUCGAGUGGCGAACGGGUGAGUAACACGUGAGUAACCUGCCCUUGACUUUGGGAUAACUUCAGGAAACUGGGGCUAAUACCGGAUAGGAGCUCCUGCUGCAUGGUGGGGGUUGGAAAGUUUCGGCGGUUGGGGAUGGACUCGCGGCUUAUCAGCUUGUUGGUGGGGUAGUGGCUUACCAAGGCUUUGACGGGUAGCCGGCCUGAGAGGGUGACCGGCCAAAUUGGGACUGAGAUACGGCCCAGCCUCCUACGGGAGGCAGCAGUGGGGAAUAUUGCACGAUGGGCGGAAGCCUGAUGCAGCAACGCCGCGUGCGGGAUGACGGCCUUCGGGUUGUAAACCGCUUUCGCCUGUGACGAAGCGUGAGUGACGGUAAUGGGUAAAGAAGCACCGGCUAACUACGUG